rnacentral:rRNA from 1 species
UACGUAGGGGGCGAGCGUUGUCCGGAUUUAUUGGGCGUAAAGAGCGUGUAGGCGGCCAGGUAGGUCUGCUGUGAAAACUCGAGGCUCAACCUCGAGACGUCGGCGGAAACCAUCUGGCUAGAGUCCGGAAGAGGAGAAUGGAAUUCCUGGUGUAGCGGUGAAAUGCGCAGAUAUCAGGAAGAACACCCGUGGCGAAGGCGGCUCUCUGGGACGGUACUGACGCUGAGACGCGAAAGCGUGGGGAGCGAACAGG